rnacentral:rRNA from 1 species
GUGCCAGCCGCCGCGGUAAUACAGAGGUCCCAAGCGUUGUUCGGAAUCACUGGGCGUAAAGGGUGCGUAGGCGGUAUGGUAAGACUUGGGUGAAAUCUCCAUGCUUAACGUGGAGGGAGCCUGGGAGACUGCCGUGCUAGAGGAUUGGAGGGGAGACUGGAAUUCUUGGAGUAGCAGUGAAAUGCGUAGAUAUCAAGAGGAACACCAGUGGCGAAGGCGAGUCUCUGGACAAUUCCUGACGCUGAGGCACGAAGGCCAGGGGAUCAAACGGGAUUAGAUACCCCGGUAGUCCUGGCAGUAAACGGUGCACACUUGCUGUGUGAGGGAUCGACCCCUUACGUGGCGCAGCCAACGCGCUAAGUGUGCCGCCUGGGGAGUACGGUCGCAAGACUAAAACUCAAAUGAAUUGACGG